rnacentral:rRNA from 1 species
GACGAACGCUGGCGGCGUGCUUAACACAUGCAAGUCGAGCGGUAAGGCCCUUUCGGGGGUACACGAGCGGCGAACGGGUGAGUAACACGUGGGUGACCUGCCCUCAGCUCUGGGAUAAGCCUGGGAAACCGGGUCUAAUACUGGAUAUGACUCCAUGACGCAUGUUGUGGGGUGGAAAGCCUUGUGCGGCUGAGGAUGGGGCCCCGCGG